ACAUAAUUUCUAAGCUGGUAUUGGAUGACGAGAGGGAAAUUACGGAUGAGUCAAAGAUAAAUGAGAAUGCCACUUGGUUUUUUCAGGAGCUCUUCACAACAAAGGCAAUUGGAGAUUCAAGUCAUUUGUUAACAUGCAUUGUAGGUAGCAUCUCUCAAGAGGCAAAUGAAGUUUUAUUAUCUCCCUUCAGGGAAGAAGAGAUUUGGAUAGCAUUAAAAGGGAUGGGACCCACCAAAGCACUUGGACCGGAUAGGUUUCCAACAAUGUUUUUUCAGAGGUACUGGCGUAUAGUAGGGAAAGAAGUCAUUGAUUAUUGCUUGGGGAUUUUGAAUAACAACGAGAAGGUUGCCUCAUUUAAUAAUAUAGACAUUGUGCUUAUCCUAAAACUUCCAAGGCCCACUAAACUUGUGAAUUUCAGGUCUAUUAGUCUGUGCACAAUCAUGUACAAAAUUGUGGCAAAAACUAUAGCAAACCGCUUGCAAUAGGUCAUUGGCAGAUGUGUCGACAAGGUACAAAAUGUUUUUUCCCAAUGCGACUUAUUUCAGACAAUGUGAUUUUAGCUUAUAAAAUUCUACACACAUUCCGUCAAGAGCGUACAGGGAAAAAAUGACUUAUGGCAGUGAAGCUUGACAUGAGUAAGACAUAUGAUAAAGUUGAGUGGGAUUUUAUAAAAGAAGUGAUGUUAAAAAUAGAGUCUGCAAGCAAAUGGGUGGGGCUCAUAAUGAGGUGCAUUUCAACAACUUAUGUGGUUAAUAUCAAUGGAAUUAAAGGUAAACUUUUUCAACCUACUAGGUGACUCUGACAAGGUGACCCAUUGAGUCCGUUUCUUUUUCCUACAUGCAGUGAGGGUCUUUCAUCGUUAUUGAGAAUUGAAAAGAAUGAGGGUCUGUUGAAGGGCGUAAAAGGGAGUAGGAGAGGGCCAGAGAUAACUCAUUUAUUAUUUGCAGACGAUUGCAUGAUGUUUGGUGAAGCAACAGAAAGGGGGUAAUGGUUUUGAAAGACAUACUCAAUGAAUAUGAAAGUUGUUCGGGUCAAUGUGUGAACUUCAGUAAAUCAACGAUUUUUUUAUAGCUCGAAUACUACAGAAGAUAAAAAAGAAGUGUCUUCAUUGCUAGGAGUAAAGAUCUCAACAAAUCCCGAAAAGUAUCUAGGACUUCCUAAUGUGGUGGGCAGAAGGUUGGAGUACGAGAUUGCUGUCUCAAGGGGGAAAGAAGGUAUUUAUUAAAUCAGUAUUACGGCUAUACCAACCUGUGCUAUGUCUUGUUUCCUUUUACCUAACUCUUUAUAUGGGAUGUUUGAAAGCAUUUUUGCUAAGUUUUGGUGGCAAAAAGGGUUUGGGAAUAGAGGAAUUCAUUGGUGUCAGUGGAGAUACUUGUGUCGACCUAAAAAUGAAGGAGGAUUGGGGUUCAGAAAUAUGGCUCAGUUCAAUAGAGCUCUUUUGGCAAAACAAGGAUGGAGACUUCUAGUUAAUCUGAAUUCAUUAAUAGCGCAAGUUUUGAAAGCGAAGUAUUUUCCAGAAAAUAAUUUUCUUAAUUCGUGUUUGGGGAAUCAGAGUUCGUAUGCAUGGCGUAGUAUAUGGGCGGCUAAGGGUUUAUUGGAGAAAGGUCUAAUUUGGAAAGUUGGCACGGGUACGAGUAUUUCAAUUAGAAAUGAUAUAUAGAUUCCAGAUUAUAGGAAUUUAAGAUUAUCGACUGUUAAUAUUGAUUUGCGAUUUGAUACAGUUGCUGAGCUAAUCAAUAAUAAUGAAAGAACUGGAAUAGAGAAUUGAUAGUUAAUACCUUCCCAGAAGAAGUAGCUGAAUUGAUCCUUCGUAUACCCUUGGCGAUGGAACCUCAAACAGACUUUUUGGCUUGGAACAGAGAACUUUCGGGAGAUUUUUCAGUUCGGAGUGCCUACAAACUAUUACAAAGUGGUGAUCCUAGAGCUUACAUUGUACAAAACGUCUAUAGGGAUUUUUACAAAAAAACUCGGGUGCAUAGAUCUACCUACUAAGAUUAAAAUUACAAUCUCCAAAAUCGCUUGGAACUAUCUGCCUACUCGGGCAAACAUGUUAAUUAGGAGACUAGCAAAUAACUCAACAUGCCCUCGAUGUGGUGUGGAAGCAGAAACAAUGGACCACCUAUUAAGAAAAUGUUCUGUGUUAGUGUCAGUGUGGGAAGCAUUAUCUGUCUCUAAUUUUAUACAGUGGACAAACUUAAGAGUUUGAGGAGUGGCUCACCAAAGUCUUUGAUUUUCUCUCUCGAGAUCAGUGCAGAAUCUUUUUUGGUGUGCUUUGGGCCAUUUGGGGAGAUCGUAAAGCUCGAAUACAUGAAAACACAAAUAGAUCAGGUCACGAGACAGCAAAAUAUAUUCAAAGUUUUUUACAUGAACUUGAUGGGGCUGGUAAAAAUACCCAUAAUGAUCCUAAGGUUGAUGUUAAAUGGAAUCACCCACCUGGGUAGGUAGUAAAAAUAAAUUUUAAUGGGGCUUAAGACGAGAGGAACCACCAACCGGCGUCAGGGAUCGUGGUCAGAGACAGCAAAUACCAUUUUCUCAUCUCUUGUACAGAAUUUCAUAGAGGGGUGGCUUCUUCUUUUGUCGCAGAAGCUAUCGCUUGUCGAAGGGCAAACUAGAUUGGUCUCGCAAUGCAACGACCAGAAACCAUUAUAGAAGGUGAUUCGUUAUUGAUAAUAAAGAAAUGCAAGGGUGUAAAGCUAGAUAAAUCGCAAAUAGGGCCUUACAUACAUGAUAUUCACGAGAUGAAGUCCAGAGCCAGAAAGUUAAGAUUUGAAUAUAUCCCAUGAUCAGCGAAUGGUCUAACCCACAUUUUAGCAACAGAAUCGCUUAAGAGGAGAGAAGAGAUGUACAGAAGGCAUGAUGAGAAGUGAGAGUGUACAAGAGCCGGAUUGAAGAAAUGAAAAGAAUGAAGAAAGGGGGAGAGUUUCAAAAUGAAACAGAUCAACAGCCUUAGAGAUAAGAUCCCCUUGGUAACUGAUGUUGCCAUUAAAGAUUGAAUUGACAGAUGAGAUGGAGAGUCAGGCGUCAAACUUUCUAAUUGGGCAAGAGGGCGGUGGCUUUAAUGAUUUCUUUAGUUUUUCUCUUUUAACAAUAAGAACCGUUUUAUUUUUCUUACGGGCCAAUUUGUUUUGGGCCUAAUGUUAUGUUUAGUUUUUUGUAGACUUCAUUUUGAUCUAUAUUGAAGCCCAAUCUGAUUUUGAUUCAAAAAAUAAAUAAUCAACUCAACGUGAAGUGUGAACCAAGAUCCAUACCCCAUAUAUAUAUAUAUGGUGUUAAGAACCUUUUAAAUAAUGGGAAUCAAUUUUUUAAAAUUAAUACAACAUUAAGUAAGUAUAUAACAUAAGCACAAACUUUGAACAAAUUAGCAAGACCAUUUUUUACAGAACCGGAUUAAUUAGAUUAGAAAUCAGUUAUAAUUUAGUUGAACCGUUUCCUCUAUUUUUUAAAUACUUUUAAUAAUUUAUUCAAUUAAUCCAAACAAACCGAUCGAAUCAAAAAUCGAUAGUUUGAUCAGUUCAACCACCCGACUAAUCCUGAAAGCCUUAAACAUGACAUACUAUUAAUAAUUAAUAUACAAAAUGGAAAAUGAAAUAAAUAUGACAUGUGAAAAUAUAUAAAAUUAUUAACGUUUAGAAAAUUCAUUAAAUUUAUAAUGAUAGUAUUUUAAACAUAAAAAAUACAAAAAUUUUAAUUCUUUUUUUUUUCUUUCCCCCACUUCUUACUUCCUAAACUACAAAAGAAAAUAAAAAAAAAACAAGUGCAGGGGACAAAAAUCUAAGCCCAAACUUCUAAAGUGACAUUAUGCAUUUUACUUUUCUAUGUAGUUAUAGAUGUUGAUCAAAAUUAUAUAGUAUUUAUUCUAAAAUUAAAUAAAUUUACUAACUCAUUAAAAUAUUUAAAUAAGCAAAAUUAUAAAAUAAAUAAUUAAGUUAAAAAAAUC
rnacentral:lncRNA from 1 species